AACAGGGAGACCUUGGGAUUGCAGUCAAGAUGUUCAGGAAAAAGCAGAAGUGGAUCAGCCAAAAUGAUAUUAACUGUGAUGACCAGGAUCUCCAUUUUUCAAACCUGAGUAUCGAACUACUCUGAAGCAAGAAGGAAGAAAGGACCAUGCGAAGACUCAUGAAGCCACCAAAGUUAUGCAGUCCGUGUUCCCAGGAGAAGCAGAGAGCCUGUGAAUGAGGCAGGCAGUCUUCCAUUGUCACUGCACUUCUGGAUGGGAUGCUGACUGUUCUGAAGAACCAGAGGAGGUCAGGACACUGUUUGGAGUAGUGCUGGCCCCUAUCAGAAC